rnacentral:rRNA from 1 species
AUUGAACGCUGGCGGCAUGCCUUACACAUGCAAGUCGAACGGCAGCGCGGACUUCGGUCUGGCGGCGAGUGGCGAACGGGUGAGUAAUACAUCGGAACGUACCCUGUUGUGGGGGAUAACUAGUCGAAAGAUUAGCUAAUACCGCAUACGACCUGAGGGUGAAAGUGGGGGACCGCAAGGCCUCACGCAGCAGGAGCGGCCGAUGUCUGAUUAGCUAGUUGGUGGGGUAAAGGCCCACCAAGGCGACGAUCAGUAGCUGGGCUGAGAGGACGGUCAGCCACCCUGGGACUGGGACACGGCCCAGACUCCUACGGGAGGCAGCAGUGGGGAAUGUUGGACAAUGGGGGCAACCCUGAUCCAGCAAUGCCGCGUGUGUGAAGAAGGCCUUCGGGUUGUAAAGCACUUUUGUCCGGAAAGAAAUCGCGCUGGUUAAUACCUGGCGUGGAUGACGGUACCGGAAGAAUAAGCACCGGCUAACUACGUGCCAGCCGCCGCUGUAA